rnacentral:rRNA from 1 species
CCUACGGGAGGCAGCAGUGGGGGAUAUUGCACAAUGGGGGGAACCCUGAUGCAGCGACGCCGCGUGGGUGAAGGAGUGCUUCGGCAUGUAAAGCCCUAUCGGCAGGGAAGAAGCAAGACGGUACCUGACUCAGAAGCCCCGGCUAACUACGUGCCAGCAGCUGCGGUAAUACGUGGGGGGGGAGUGUUAUCAGGAUUCACUGGGUGUAAAGGGAUCGUAGACGGCCAUGCAAGCCAGGCGGGAAAGCCCGGGGACUAACCCCGGGACUGCCCUUGAAACUGGAUGGCUGGAGUGCGGGAGGGGCAGGCGGAAUGCGUGGUGUAGCGGUGAAAUGCGUAGAUAUCAGGAGGAACACCGGCGGCGAAGGCAGCCUGCUGGACCGCGACUGACGUUGAGGCUCGAAAGCGUGGGGAGCGAACAGGAUUAGAUACCCGUGUAGUC